UUGUGGAUCAUGACAUUUGUCAUGACAUAAUAUCCAUUAUAAGGACAAGGAUUUCUUGCUAUAAAUAGAGGAGCUUCUCCUCAUUUGCAAACACACGAUGCUGGCCUCUGCUGGUCUUAUCUGAUCUUAUCGUGUCACAGAUGUUGCCUAAUGCCUCCUCCUGUAAUUGGCAUAUUUUAUUUUACAUGUGGAAUUGCCUUUACUUUCAAGGAAAAUCCUUAGUUAGAUGCAUGACUCCACAUGUUCUCAUACGAUGCAUGGUCACAAAGUUUGUCCUACUUCUGAGACUAUAUGGCUGGGAACUUAAAAGUGCUACUGAACAAAUAAUUCUUUACAUUAAAGGAAGAUUGUAUUUAACACCUCAUAUUCCUUUAUUGUUAAACUUACUUAUUUGGUGUACGUCCUUUUUGAUUCUGUGGUAAACUGAUUUUUAUUCAUCCUUUAAGAUAAUAUCAUUUGUUUAGGUGCAAUAUGAAGAUAUUCCUGGUUGAUGGUGUGUGUCUUUAUUGAGCAUGUGUUAAAACCUUUUUCUUUGUGAUACAUCUUUCAAAGUCCCAUGUUGCUGUGAACAGGAACUUAUGUAAGUGGCUUCAUAUUCCAUCUAAAAAAUUUGUGCUAUUAAUUUACCGUGGUAGUGAGUGAUAAAGGGUUAAAAAGUGAGCCAUCUUCUACUUAAUUGAUUGGUGCAAUCUUUUUCUGUAAAUUCAAAAAGAAAAGGAGAAAUUGGUUCAGUUAGUUACUCUCUUAAUCAUAUUUAUAUAUGUACCAGAUGUGUUAAGCACGGGCCUAACAAUUUUAACUGGGACGUUCCUUCGUUCAUUUGAGGAAAUUACUUGUAGGAAUUAUUGGGUAAAUGCACUUGUGUGAUCUUAAAAGACAAACUUUGUGACCUUUAAAUAUCACAUAUCUGGAAAAGGCAUAAUACUCAUGUAGAAUAAAUCAGAAAAGAUUAUAAGUUUCUUUCUUAAUGCUGAUUUGGGUGUGUUGUGAAAAAGGUUGUUUAAAAGCUUAAACUCAGUAUUCAAGACCACCAGCCAAGAUGCAGAACAAAGAGGGACAAAACAUAGAUCUUUACAUCUCCAGCAAAUGAUUAUUCAGUUCUACUACGAAAAGCACCCAAGAGUGUAGCCUAGCGGUCAAUGAAGUGGGUGCAAAACCAUAAGGUCUCAGGUUAAAAUUCCAGUGGAAACAAACACACUAGGUUAUUUCUUCUCAUUUGUCUAAGCCUUGUCGGACAGAGUUAUCGGUGUCUGUGCUGGUGGAAGGUAGCAGGUACCCAAUGGAAUUAGUCGAGAUGCACGCAAUCUAGCCUGGACACCAUCAUUAUCAAAAUAUAUAAACAAAUAAUUGUAGCUAACCUCUGCACAUAAUUGCAGUUCUACUACGAAUCCUCUAGAUAUUAGAUUCCCAUUUCUUUUAUCGAGAGAGCCUGAUAAGUGAGAUUUUUGGAGACAAAGAAUAUCAACUGAGCACGUUGUGUCAACAUGCUUUCUUAUUUUGAUUGAUGAGUUUGUAAAAUUGCCCGACUAAUAAAUGAAUCUCCUUCUCGAUAGGUGAUUCGUGAAGAAUUUGUUCAGUCUUCUUUUUCCAGCAAAUUCACAAUGUCAUCAACUUACGGUUUUGACCAUUAUGUUCGAGGUGUGAAAGAACUUCCACAGGAAAUUGGAAGAAAUAAUCUCUAUAAACUCCAGAAAAUUAAGACAAACGAUUAAGACAUAGAACAUCCCAGUUAAGAUUGAUGCUGAAUAAAUGCAUGCCUUGGUCAAUCUCCAGAUUGAUAUGAUCAGGUUUUAGGUAAGUAUAUAAGGCUUUAUCUUUUGAUGUUAUACUUUUCAGUAAGUUAAUAGCUAAUUUUUGUCAGAUUUUCUUUUCUCUUUGUUGGCCUCAUUGCUUCUUGAUCUUUUCCGUUCCUUCUAAACAUCAGCUUGCAAUUAUGGUUUUUUUUCUAAGCAACUAGGUGUUUAUGGUUGUCACGACUCAUAAGCAUGGAUAAAUGAGUGGACCUUUCGAAGUCUGAAUGUUGAAGUUAUCUUCUCUCUUAGGUGAAUUUUAUAUAUGAUUCUAUGUGUUAAUAUAAAAAUGAAAUUAUUAGAAAACAUAAAAAUCAAAUUAAGAUGAGUGCUCUAUUUUAAUUUGUUCUGCUCUUAAGACCAACUUUAAAGUGAUUAAGGAAAGAAGUAGCACUUUAGAUUCCAAAUUAAGCUUAGAAAAGAUGAUUCACCCAGAGACAUUUUCUCUUCAAUUACUACAUUUUAUAACACUUUCAAGUGAUUUCUGAUAUAGUUUUUAUCUCCAUUGCUCUUAACUUGUUCAUGCCUUAAGUUGGUCUCAAAUAGGGGUGGCAAUUUAAGCCAAAAACCAUUCAACCCGCCCAGGUUGGGCCGCUCAUUGACCCGGCCAUUGUUGAACUCAUCGCAUCUUGACCCAACUCAUCUCAAUCCAUAUAAAGUUGAGCUGAUUUUUAGCCCAAUUGAUCCAUGGACAACUUUGCUAAAAUAUUCUAAAAAUAACUCUUUUUUGUUUGAUAUAUUAUAUAUGACCAUAAGAAAAGAAAAAAAAGUCUUAUUUGGUAAUUAAACAAUUCAUAAAAAAAAAAUACCUUAAUUAAAGCUUGGUAAGAGUUGAGCGGGUUGGACUAUGAUUCAAAUUUUAGCCCAUCUUGACCUAGUCCAUCCCAGCACAACUAACUUUUGGACGGGUCAUUCACUCGCCCAGUUAUUGACUCAGCCUAUUUUGGUUCGCCCAAAAUCUUCCAAACGCCCAUUUGACACCCCCUAGUCUCAAAUGUAAAAAAGAGUUGGAAAUAUUAGCUUCGUUUGUAGUUUUGGUACAUUCUAUUUUGAAAGAAAAGAGAAUGAGUUGAUCUGCAAGAAUUUCAAAUUAAUCUUUAGGUUUGAAUGGACCGUAAAAAACUUUUUUCCCCAGUUAGCCGGUCUCUUGCUUGAGUUCAUAAUUAUUUCCCUUCAGCUGAUGUAUAUCUCCAAAUUCUUGAAAAUGAAGGUAUACUUAUGUUCUGAUUCCUUAUUAAGUAUUUCUAUACUUGCUUUAAGAAGGAAAAAGAUUGUUUUGUUACUGAAUUUCAUAGGAAGCACAAACAAAUCUUUUUCUGUGGCCAUUAUGUGAUAAUCAAUGAUAAGCUAUAGCGUUUGCCAUAGUUGUUACCCGGAGAUGCACAGCUUGCAGGAUAAACAAACCAAAUUAUUCAGUUGCAAACUUGGCUACACCAUGGAAUUUGUCGAGGUGCAUAUGCAUUUGAGGAUUUCAAAGAGGUAUUUCUUGAUCAAGAAAGCAAGUUUCAUUUUUUCUGGCUGAUUUUGCAUGGAACUGCAAUCACCUUAUCAUUUUCAAUUGAAGAAAGUCAUCAUUUACUGACAUUUUACAAUUUUGAUGCAAAGCUAUGUGCUCUUGAUGAGUUAAGGUAGAAAAUUGCAUGAGCCAUGGUGACAUUUUAACUUUCAACUUGUGUGUAUGAGCUUGAUAAGAUUCAAGUUCCCUCCAUGAAUUCGAACGAAAU